CUCCUUGGCUUCUCCUGUCCUAUGCAACACAACUCAUGCUGAUUAACACUAUUUUACUACUGAAACUACAGGUCCUGAACAGACUGUUGCUAAAAGCAUGACUCCAGAUUGUCACACUUCUGUCACUUAGCAAAAGUGUGACAAUGUUGUCAAAGAAGUGCUGAAUCAAACGAAUGCAUGCCGGAGGACAUUUUUCAGAUGAUGCCAAUCGGUUGGCUUCAUCAGUGGCCUUAUGCGCAGCCUGGAAGAGCUGUCUUUUUAUUGACCAGUUGCAAGAAGAUUCCCCGCUGCAGAGAAAGCAGGUCAAAUGGACAGUGUUUCCGCCCAGUUUCAAACUAUGGACCUUUUCUAUGUUAGGCGAACGUGAUACCACCGCGACACUAAAGAAACCUCGGCUCAAUCCACCACUGGUAUUGCCCUUUUGUCUUUGCAGAAGUACUUUGGAGAAGGUCUUGAACUAACAGAUUCAUCAGGCAUUGACCAUCGUCACUAUGGAACAGUCUAAAUAAGCACCUGCAUGUAUGAGGUCGUGGUUUUCAGCCAGGGAGUGGAGGAUAGAACAAACUCGGCCUGGAGUGAGUAUCCGCCCAAAUGGACACAGUUCAAGUGCAUACUUCCUCUUAAGACCGAAGUUGAGGCUGCCAGACAAUUUUCAGAUGCACUCCUCGUUAGUAUAGUGGACAGUAUCUCUGCUUGUCACGCAGAAGACCAGGGUUCGAUUCCCUGACGGGGAGCUUCUUUUCAAAAGGCAACUACAAACUGUUCACUCUCCUUGGCUUCUCCUGUCCUAUGCAACACAACUCAUGCUGAUUAACACUAUUUUACUACUGAAACUACAGGUCCUGAACAGACUGUUGCUAAAAGCAUGACUCCAGAUUGUCACACUUCUGUCACUUAGCAAAAGUGUGACAAUGUUGUCAAAGAAGUGCUGAAUCAAACGAAUGCAUGCAGGAGGACAUCUCUCAGAUGAUGCCAAUCGGUUGGCUUCAUUAGUGGCCUUAUGCGCAGCCUGGAAGAGCUGUCCUUUUAUUGACCAGUUGCAAGAAGAUCCACCGCUGCAGAGAAGAGCAGGACAUGGACAGUGUUUCCGCCCAGUUUCAACUAGGGAACCUUUCCUAUGU
ensembl:lncRNA